rnacentral:rRNA from 1 species
UAAGGAAUAUUGCUCAAUGGGAGAAAUCCUGAAGCAGCAACGCCGCGUGGAGGAUGAAGGGUCUAUGACUUGUAAACUCCUGUAAAGAAGGAAAAAAUUCCCAUUUGAUGGGAGAUGAUGGUACUUCUGGAGUAAGCCCCGGCUAACUACGUGCCAGCAGCCGCGGUAAUACGUAGGGGGCAAGCGUUGUCCGGAUUUACUGGGUGUAAAGGGUGCUCAGGCGGAUUUGUAAGUCAGAGGUGAAAUCUUACAGCUUAACUGUGAAACUGCCUUUGAUACUGCAAGCCUAGAGUAUGGAAGAGAGUGAUGGAAUAUCUG